UACGAAGGGUGCUAGCGUUGUUCGGAAUCACUGGGCGUAAAGCGCGCGCAGGCGGCCAUUCAAGUCAGGGGUGAAAUCCUUGGGCUUAACCCAAGAAUUGCCUUUGAAACUGUAUGGCUGGAGUGUCGGAGGGGAUAGCGGAAUUCCUAAUGUAGUGGUGAAAUACGUAGAUAUUAGGAGGAACACCGGUGGCGAAGGCGGCUAUCUGGACGACAACUGACGCUGAGGCGCGAAAGCGUGGGGAUCAAACAGG
rnacentral:rRNA from 1 species